rnacentral:rRNA from 1 species
AACGAACGCUGGCGGCAGGCUUAACACAUGCAAGUCGAACGCAUCCUUCGGGGUGAGUGGCAGACGGGUGAGUAACGCGUGGGAACGUGCCCUUCAGUUCGGAAUAACCCAGGGAAACUUGGGCUAAUACCGGAUACGUGCGAGAGCAGAAAGAUUUAUCGCUGAAGGAUCGGCCCGCGUCUGAUUAGCUAGUUGGUGAGGUAAUGGCUCACCAAGGCGACGAUCAGUAGCUGGUCUGAGAGGAUGAUCAGCCACAUUGGGACUGAGACACGGCCCAAACUCCUACGGGAGGCAGCAGUGGGGAAUAUUGGACAAUGGGCGCAAGCCUGAUCCAGCCAUGCCGCGUGAGUGAUGAAGGCCUUAGGGUUGUAAAGCUCUUUCGGCGGGGACGAUAAUGAUGGUACCCGCAGAAGAAGCCCCGGCUAACUUCGUGCCAGCCGCCGCCGUAA